AUCCAGCUGAUGUGUCCAAGAUAAUACGAAACUUGAGUCCUGGAU
rnacentral:hammerhead_ribozyme from 1 species